rnacentral:rRNA from 1 species
UACAGAGGGUGCAAGCGUUAAUCGGAAUUACUGGGCGUAAAGCGCGCGUAGGCGGUAUGUUAAGUCGGAUGUGAAAUCCCUGGGCUCAACCCAGGCAUUGCAUCCGAUACUGGCACACUAGAGUGUGGGAGAGGAAGGUAGAAUUCCAGGUGUAGCGGUGAAAUGCGUAGAGAUCUGGAGGAAUACCGAUGGCGAAGGCAGCCUUCUGGCCUAACACUGACGCUGAGGUGCGAAAGCAUGGGGAGCAAACAGG